rnacentral:rRNA from 1 species
UAUAUGGAGAGUUUGAUCCUGGCUCAGGACGAACGCUGGCGGCGUGCCUAAUACAUGCAAGUCGAGCGGACGGAUGGGAGCUUGCUCCCUGAAGUCAGCGGCGGACGGGUGAGUAACACGUGGGCAACCUGCCUGUAAGACUGGGAUAACUUCGGGAAACCGGAGCUAAUACCGGAUAAUUCUUUCCCUCACAUGAGGGAAAGCUGAAAGAUGGUUUCGGCUAUCACUUAC